rnacentral:rRNA from 1 species
UACAUGGGGUGCAAACGUUGCUCGGAAUCAUUGGGCGUAAAGCGCGCGUAGGCGGUUACUUAAGUUGGAUGUGAAAGCCCUCGGCUUAACUGAGGAAGUGCAUCCAAAACUGAGUAGCUAGAGUACGAAAGAGGGUCGCGGAAUUCCCGGUGUAGAGGUGAAAAUUCGUAGAGAUGUGGAGGAACACCAGUGGCGAAGGCGGCUUUCUGGUCUGUAACUGACGCUGAGGCGCGAAAGCGUGGGGGAGCAAACAGG